AAUCAGAAAAAAGGGCGGAUGUGCAAUCUUCACCUGUUUAUUCGGUAGAGGGUGCCAUCUUCAGGUAGCCCUUCACGUUGUACAGAAAACAAUGGAGACUUCUCCUCCUGGGGCAGCCUCAACCUGGAGAAAAAAGUCUUCAUCCCGUGGAGCACCAUCCACCUCUUCUCCACCUGGACAGGCUGCUGGCUGCCGGAUCUUCUUCGGUUUGGUGGGGCUGCUCACUUUGGGGCCCUCAGGACAGGACACAGGAGCAGGCAGGGCUGUUGAGAGCUCUUCAGCCAGUUCCUGAAGAUACAGAAGUGCCCUGUGGGAACAGACAGAGCCAUUCUCACAUAUAACCGAGAACUCACAUUUCCAGACAUGGUUGAUUUUUAUCUCAAUGGAGCCUCCCAAUAACCCCAUGAUUAACCAAUUAACUCUAUUAAUUUCCCCUUCCCCCUUGGAAAAUGAAAAACCAGAAAUCUAAGUUAUGUGACUUGGCCGAGAUGACUGAGAUAACAAAUGUGGAAUCUGAACCCAGGUCUUCUCACUCCAAGUUCAAUACAUUUUUCAUCCUACCACAGUCAAAGAACACAGAGGGCAAGAGAAAGAAUGGAACAGCAUAUAUAUAUAUAUAUAGACAUAUACUGGACAGUAAAACAAUAAAGAGCUGGGUAAAGUUUGUGAAAAA
rnacentral:antisense_RNA from 1 species